UGUGUAUAAUGCUUUCGGCGGAGGGACCGAGGUGGUGGUCCGAGGUGAUUCAGUUGCACCUUCUCUCCUCAUCUUCCCACCAUCUGCUGCUGAGCUGGCAACUGGGACAGCCACCAUCGUGUGCGUGGCGAAUAAAUACUUUCCCGAUGUCACCGUUACCUGGAAGGUGGAUGGCACCGUCCAAAGCAGCGGCAUCGAGAACAGUAAAACAGGGCAGAAUUCUGAAGACUGUACCUACAACCUCAGCAGCACUCUGUCACUGAGCGCCACAGAGUACAACAGCCACAAUGAGUACACCUGCCAGGUGACCCAAGGCUCGGGCUCACCGAUCGUCCAGAGCUUCAAUAGGAAUGACUGUUAGAGCGAGACGCCUGCCAGGGCACCCCCAACGACCCUGAGGCCCAGCCUCGCUGCUCCCUCCCCUCAGUGGACCCAUUCCCACCGCAGUCCUCCAGCCCCUCCCCUCUCGGCCCUCGCCCCCCUCCUUGGCUUUAAUUGCGAAUGUUGGUGAGAUGGAUGAAUAAAGUGAAUCUUUGCACAUGUGA